AUGUUCAAACAAGGCAUCCUUCAGCAUAGUUGUAGUCCAUUUGCUGCUCCAGUCCUGUUGGUACAGAAAAAGGACUUGAGUUGGAGAUUUUGCAUCGAUUUCCGCAGGUUAAAUGCCAUCACAAUCAAGAACAGAUACCCAUUGCCAGUCAUUGAGGAGCUGUUGGAUGAGCUUGCAGGUUCAGUUUGGUUUACCAGUCUUGAUUUGAGAGCGGGUUAUCACCAAAUCCGGAUGAAGGCGGGGGAAGAGUACAAAACUGCUUUCAAGACUCAUCACGAGCAUUAUGAGUUCAAGGUCAUGCCCAAUGGUGUUACUGGUGGUCCCUCUACCUUUCAAGGCACUAUG
rnacentral:rRNA from 1 species